CUCAAUUAUGUGCACACUUGGGCCUACCAAUUUGGACUCAAUUCGGGUUUUUUUUCUUUUUCUUUCCUUCAUUUCAAUGGCAUCUUCAGCAACAAAUUUCUGCUUUCAAUGUGAAGAUUCAACAAACUCAGUUACCUUUAGAAAUGGUUGGCGUCUUCGUAGUGGCAAAUUCGCUCAGCUCUGUCAUCGUUGCGCAUCCGUAUAUGAGUACGGGAGGUUCUGUGAGACUUUCCAUUCAAAUGAUGAUGGCUGGAGAGACUGUGAGUCUUGUGGGAAGUUGGUCCAUUGUGGAUGUAUUGCGUCUUUCAACACAUAUCUGCUAUUGGAUUUUGGUGGAAUUAUGUGCAUGGAGUGCUCAAAGAAGAAUAUUAUUCUUGCACGGGAUCGUUGCUUGUCCGACGAAACUCCAGUAUCAACUGGAGAAUCUCGGGUGGAUGCCGCACAGACUGUGGUAGAACCUCAGUAUAGGCCUCGUGUAACAGAGAGAGAGUUGAAGAAGAUCUCCAUAAACUGUAGGUGUGUUGUCACCCCUUUGUUUCAAAAAUUGUUGUCUGCCAGUGAUGCUGAUCUCACACUAUCACGUCUUGUGAUUCCCAAAAAGUGUGCUGAGGCUUUCUUUCCUUGCCUUUCUGGGCCACACAGGAUCCCCAUUAAUAUGCUCGAUACUGAAGGCAAGGAAUGGAAUUUUCACUUCCGCUUUUGGCCUAAUUCUAGGAGUAAAAUGUAUGUGCUGGAAGGACUUAGAGAUUACAUGGUCUUGAAGAGGUGGCAAGCAGGCGAUUUUGUUACUUUUUAUCGAAUUGAACCGGGACAGAAAUUGGUCAUGGGAUUAAGGAAUUCUUCUACCACCUCAUAGCUCAGAGGCGGUGGACUUUAUGGGUUCGGGAUACAACUGAACCCACUCAACUUUUGAGUUACUGGAUUCGGUAUUUUAAAUUUGUACAUAUUUAGUAGAUUUCUUAACGGAUAUACAUGGUUUGAGCUAAAGCUACGGGUUCGGCUGAACCUGUACUUACCUUGUACAUCCGCCCCUGGGUGAACUGUACUUAUUUAUAUAAAAUGGCUGACAAUGUGCUGCAAUGGUAUGAAAGAUACCAACAAUGUGGAUCUCAGCUUGAUGUCCUUGAAUAUGACUGGUUACAGCAGAGGCGGAUCUACAUGCAAUUUAUGAGGUUCACGCAAUAGCUUUUACCUAGACCCUGAAUACAUAUUAAAAAAUUCACAAAAUAUCUAUAAAUAUUUGACUGUAAACCUAGUUAUUAUUGUAUAUUAACUUUUUUCGAUGAAGGAUUAAUGUAUAUUAACUUUUUUUGAUGAAGGAUUAUUUUAUAUUAAAUUGAGGUCGCUGCGAGGAUUGAUAUAGUUGAUCCCAAUUUGUUUGGGAAUUGAGGUGUAGACCGUAGUUGUUGUUGUUAUUGACUUGUUGUAAAUUGAGGUUGAUGUAGGAACUCAUAACUUCAAAUUCAGGAUUUGCCUUUUGACUCC